GGCCAGGUGGCGGAGUGGUAACACAUGUGAGACGAAUAUAGCACUUAAUAAUGUCCCCUCGCAAGGUCUCUGUUCGACUCGGAGUCUGGCCU